GACGAACGCUGGCGGCGUGCCUAAUACAUGCAAGUAGAACGCACAGUUUAUACCGUAGCUUGCUACACCAUAAACUGUGAGGUGCGAACGGGUGAGUAACGCGUAGGUAACCUUCCUGGUAGCGGGGGAUAACUAUUGGAAACGAUAGCUAAUACCGCAUCAUAUUGAUUAUUGCAUGAUACUUGAUUGAAUGAUGCUAUUGCAUCACUACCAGAUGGACCUGCGUUGUAUUAGCUAGUAGGUGAGGUAACGGCUCACCUAGGCGGAGAUACAUAGCCGACCUGGGAGGGUGGUCGGCCCACAUGGGACUGGGACACGGCCCAGACUCCUACGGGGGGCAGCAGUAGGGAAUCUUCGGCAAUGGACGAAAGUCUGACCGAGCAACGCCGCGUGAGUGAAGAAGGUUUUCGGGUCGUAAAGCUCUGUUGUAAGGGAAGAACGGGUGUGAGGGUGGAAAGUUCACACUGUGACGGUAUCUUACCAGAAAGGGACGGCUAACUACGUG
rnacentral:rRNA from 1 species